rnacentral:lncRNA from 1 species
GUCACUGAAGACUGGAGCUCAUUGAUGACGCGACCCUCACGUGACCAGGAGUCGACGUGUGCAGAAGUCCUUAUAGUCCAGGGCCUGUUUCCCUGGAGCAGCUCCGUAUUGCUGGAGAAGGAGAAAAGUGCCCGGGAUCCUUUCAGGACUCUGUGGUCUUUUGGGCGCGACACAAUCGAGUGAGGGAAGGAGGCAGGAAAAUCCCCUGGAUCCCUGCAGGAUUAAUUUAUUCUAAAGAA